CUGGAGUGAUUACGGGUUUCGA
rnacentral:snRNA from 1 species